UGCCAGCAGCCGCGGUAAUACGAAGGGGGCUAGCGUUGCUCGGAAUUACUGGGCGUAAAGGGCGCGUAGGCGGUCUUGUUAGUCAGGCGUGAAAUUCCUGGGCUUAACCUGGGGGCUGCGCUUGAUACGGCAGGACUUGAGGAUGGAAGAGGCUCGUGGAAUUCCCAGUGUAGAGGUGAAAUUCGUAGGUAUUGGGAAGAACACCGGUGGCGAAGGCGGCGAGCUGGUCCAUUACUGACGCUGAGGCGCGACAGCGUGGGGAGCAAACAGGAUUAGAUA
rnacentral:rRNA from 1 species